rnacentral:rRNA from 1 species
AGUGAACGCUGGCGGUAGGCCUAACACAUGCAAGUCGAACGGCAGCACAGGAGAGCUUGCCCUCUGGGUGGCGAGUGGCGGACGGGUGAGGAAUACAUCGGAAUCUGCCCAGUCGUGGGGGAUAACUUAGGGAAACUUACGCUAUUACCGCAUACGUCCUUCGGGUGAAAGAGGGGAUCGCAAGACCUCUCGUGAUUGGAUGAGCCGAUGUCGGAUUAGCUAGUUGGCGGGGUAAUGGCGCACCAAGGCGACGAUCCGUAGCUGGUCUGAGAGGAUGAUCAGCCACACUGGAACUGAGACACGGUCCAGACUCCUACGGGAGGCAGCAGUGGGGAAUAUUGGACAAUGGGCGCAAGCCUGAUCCAGCCAUACCGCGUGAGUGAAGAAGGCCUUCGGGUUGUAAAGCCCUUUUGUUGGGAAAGAAAUAUUUCAGGCUAAUACCCUGGGAGGAUGACGGUACCCAAAGAAUAAGCACCGGCUAACUUCGUG